rnacentral:lncRNA from 1 species
AGCACUUAAUAGCACAUAGAUGCAUUUAUCAUGGUGAUCCUCUACCUUUAGAAAAUUAAUUUCUUCAAUAUUCAAAUUUGAUUUGUGAGAUUUUGACCAAGUGACUACAUGAUCUUGAGUUUUUUAUAGCGCUCAACAAAAAGGAUAAAACCAUUUUCUGAUGCUGUUCUUGUGAAGGUUCUGAGCUAGUAAACUGGUAGUUUUAGUGGAAAUAGGAAAUCAAUUAAUAGAAUAUAAUCAGCACGUAUUUUCUUUUUGAUACAUUGGUUACAUGAAACAUUCUUUAUAAAAUUAUGACGUUUUCAUCAUCUCUUAUGAUGAUCUUGCAUUGUUAUCUCCAUCGUAGGAUGUAAGUAGAGUGCUUUUCAUAUAUAACCAUUGAAAGAGGAUCCUACAUUGAGCAUUCUAAUUUUGAAUUGUUUCGGGUGCAGAUAAGAACCAGGAGAAACAAAAGCAGAACCUAUGUUCAUGCAGCAUCCUUUGAUUGUACCUUUCUGUAUGAUGUUAAACAUUUGAGACGGCCCAUCUUCGAAAAAAAGAAUAAAAAAAAUCUGAUUGGUAUCUAUAGUUUAGAAGGUUGAAUUCUUGUAAAUGCUUCUGUUUUCGUUGGGAUUGUGAUCGUUUUCUGACAUUGGGAAUUGAGAUGUCCAUGGUUGAUCCGUUAGGCACUGUCUAUUAUAUACGUGUUAGACAUUAUUGCUUACUUUACCAAGUUGCCUAGCUGAUCAAAACUUGACCAAUGAAUAAUGGAGUUGCUUGAAGAUGUUUUAUUGUGUUUGGAAAUUGGUAGAAUAUAGAUCUGUAUUUAUUGGGUACGGACUUAAAAUUCUCAUAUUUGAAAUCAUACGAAGACAAGUAGUUAUCUAUCAACUUCGUUGGUGGUGUUACUUGAAAGGUAGAG